GUGGGGAAUCUUGCGCAAUGGGCGAAAGCCUGACGCAGCCAUGCCGCGUGAAUGAUGAAGGUCUUAGGAUUGUAAAAUUCUUUCACCGGGGACGAUAAUGACGGUACCCGGAGAAGAAGCUCCGGCUAACUUCGUGCCAGCAGCCGCGGUAAUACGAAGGGGGCUAGCGUUGCUCGGAAUUACUGGGCGUAAAGGGCGCGUAGGCGGACAGCUUAGUCAGAGGUGAAAGCCCAGGGCUCAACCUUGGAAUUGCCUUUGAGACUGGCUGUCUUGAGUUUGGGAGAGGUGAGUGGAACUACGAGUGUAGAGGUGAAAUUCGUAGAUAUUCGGAAGAACACCAGUGGCGAAGGCGACUCACUGGCCCAAUACUGACGCUGAGGCGCGAAAGCGUGGGGAGCAAACAGGAUUAGAAACCCCAGUAGUCC
rnacentral:rRNA from 1 species